ACAUUAGGCCAAAGGGUGAAAGGUUACAGAUGUAGGCCAAUUAACCCAGCUAGAGCCAGGGUCAAAGGUCACCAAAAGACAUAUAAGACCGCAGGAGGAAUGGCCAGUAGUCAGUGAAAAGGGGGCGUGGUUCCUGGAUCAGGUUUGGAGAGGAACCGGGACAGAAGGGCCAUGGGUCGGGUUUGAAAUGUCACCGGGCCGGCGUUGUGGUUCCGGGUCGGCGGGCCGGAGGCCGCAGAUGCUGGUCCAGCACGGUGAUCCGCUCCGGGAACAGCGCAUCCACAUCGAACGGGAACUCCAUGGCCCAUUGUGCGGGGGCCGGACACGCCCCACACAACGUCACUUCCGCUACCAGAGCCGGUCUGUGCCCCUGUGGUGCCAGGGCAACCAAGGAUCGUGCCCUCCCAGUGAAUAGCUGAGGGAACCUUCAGAAGAACCAGUCAUACACCCCUUCCUUGAUGGAGUUGCGGGCAUUUGCAGCCCCAGGUCCCAGCAUCUCACUGGACAUUGGGAGAACAAGGAAAUACAGACAACUAAGCAAGGCGGCAGACACCUGGGCUCUCAGAACUCAGGCUGUUGAGACUGUACAGUGAGCUGAGGACAGCGUGGGCUCCAUAAACAGACCCCAACUCAUAGGAGGAAAAUGGAGGAAAGCUUCUGCCCACCCACACAAUGUAUUUGCUGGUGAUUUAAUAGAUAAAUAGGAUCUCUUUCCUUGAA